CGGUCCAGACUCCUACGGGAGGCAGCAGUAGGGAAUCUUCCGCAAUGGGCGAAAGCCUGACGGAGCAACGCCGCGUGAGUGAUGAAGGUUUUCGGAUCGUAAAACUCUGUUAUUAGGGAAGAACAAAUGCGUAAGUAACUGUGCGCAUCUUGACGGUACCUAAUCAGAAAGCCACGGCUAACUACGUGCCAGCAGCCGCGGUAA
rnacentral:rRNA from 1 species